rnacentral:rRNA from 1 species
UACGUAGGGUGCAAGCGUUAAUCGGAAUUACUGGGCGUAAAGCGUGCGCAGGCGGUUGUGCAAGACAGAUGUGAAAUCCCCGGGCUCAACCUGGGAAUUGCAUUUGUGACUGCACGGCUAGAGUGUGUCAGAGGGGGGUAGAAUUCCACGUGUAGCAGUGAAAUGCGUAGAGAUGUGGAGGAACACCGAUGGCGAAGGCAGCCCCCUGGGUCAAGAUUGACGCUCAUGCACGAAAGCGUGGGGAGCAAACAGG